rnacentral:tRNA from 1 species
GCGAGGGUGGCGGAAUUGGCAGACGCACUAGACUUAGGAUCUAGCGGGGCAACCUGUGGGGGUUCGACUCCCCCCCUUCGCACCA